UGGGAACUGAAAAGGGCAUCAUCUUCCCAGCUCUUUGGUAUUUAUUAUUCACUUUUUCACCCUCCUUCCCAUCUGGAGAGGAGAGGAGGGAGGAGGUGGAGACUGGAAAACAGAAGGAGGGACCUGACCAGAGGGCCGUCCAGUAGAGGACAGAGUUGAAGCCCGAGACCACGUGGCCUUGGAGACUGCAGGGAGAGAGACUCAGACCUGCUAGGCCUGGGUGUAACCUCAAGAUCCAGAACAUCAGACAGCAGGAAGCAGCUCCUCACCCAGCAGAGUAAAACUGGGGCCACCCUGAGGUCCCACAAGGGUAGUUCAAGGCCAGUGCCAUGAUGAUCUGAAGAAUUUGAGACAAUGAAUUUUGAGGUAGUUUGUUACACAGCAAUAGAUAACUAAUAAAUAUAUUGAUACUCAAUAUGGGUUUCUUCCAUUAAAAAAAACAAUAAUACAAACUACUCAAACAUGUCGGAUGCCUUUGGACCAGCAGGUAGGUGGAAGCUGAAAAGACCUAGAGAAGAAUGGGUAAGAAAAUCAAAAGGGCUUCAAAGAGACUGUUAGUCAGAGCCUGGUGUAUCUGAAAAGGCUGACAAGAAGAGUUUCAAAGCCAGUGAAGAAAACAAUAGGCCAGGCAUAGUGGCUCAUGACUGUAAUCCCAGCAAUUUGGGAGGCCAAGGCAGGUGGACCACUUGAGGUCAGGAGUUCAAAACCAGCCUGGCCAACACGGUGAAACCCCAUCUCCACUAAAAAAAAAAUAAAAUAAAAUAAAAUAAACAAUUGAAUUUAAAAUGUUAUAAUAUCAUUUAUAACUCCAUAAAAAAGAAAUACAGAUAAAUGUCAUAAAAUAAGGAAAGACCUAUAUACUAAAAGUUACAAAAUAUUACUGAGAAAAUUAAAUACAAACUAUGUAAAUGGAGAGAUAAAUUUUUUCAGGAGUGGAAAGAUUUAUGAUUAUCAAUUUUUCCCCAAAUUAAUCUAUAAGUCCAAGGCAAUCCCAAUCUAGCCAGUGGGACCUUUUUUUAAUUGCAAGCUGAUUCUAAAAUUCAUGUGAAAAUGCAGAGAAUCUAUGAUACCCCAAGUAACACUGAAAAAAAGAAACUGGAGGAUUCAAGAAUUAUUAUAAACCUAUAGUAAUCAAAAGAGCAUAAUACUGGUCCAGGUUGAGUAUCCCUAUCCAAAAUGCUUGGGACCAAAAGUGUGUUGAAUUUUGGAUGCUUUCAGAUUGAAAGUUUACAUAUACAUGAGGAGAUACGUUGGGGAUGUGACCCAAGUGUAAGCACAAAAUACAGUUAUGUUUCAGAUGUACUUUAUACCAAUGGCUUGAAGGUAAUUUUAUACAAUACUAUUAAUAAUUUUGUACGGGAAACAAAUACAUUUAUGUUUCAGAUGUACUUUAUACCAAUGACUUGAAGGUAAUUUUAUACAAUACUAUUAAUAAUUUUGUACAGGAAACAAAGUUUGUAUACAUGAGGUCAAGUGUGAAAUUUUCCAUUGUGGCAUCAUAUUGGAACUCAAAGAGUUUCAGAUUUUGGGCUUUUCUAUUGGAGAUGCUGUCCUGUAUAAAGAAAGCCAAAUACAGAUGGUCCCCAAUUUCAGAUGAUUCAACUGAAGAUUUUUCACCUUUCUGGUAGGUUUAUCAGGGUAUUACAUGAAUUUUCAACUUCUAAUGGGUUUAUGAGGAUGUAACCCUACUGUAAUUCAAGGAGCAUAACAGUGCAAUACAGUUCCAGAAAGAGUCCCACACAUAUAAAGACAACUUUUUUUUUUGAGACAGAGUCUCACUCUGUUGCCCAGGCCGGAGUGCAGUGGUGCGAUCUUGGCUCACAGCAACUUCUGCCUCUCAGGUACAAGUAGUUCUCACACCUCAGCCUCUCAAGUUGUUGGAAUUACAGGCGUGCUCCACCACCACAAAAAUUACAGGCUAUUUUUGUAUUUUUAGUAGAGUUGGGGUUUCACUAUGUUGGCCAGGCUGGUCUCAAACUCACAACCUCAGAUGAUCUGCCCACCUUGGCCUCCCAAAGUGAAAGUCAACUUACUUUUGAGAAAGGGAUGAUGGCAAUGCCUGGAGAAAGGAUAGCCUUUUCAGCACAUGAUGCUGGAGCAACUGGAUAUUCAUGUUUGAAAAAUGAACUUGAAUCUAUCCAUCCACAAAAAUGAAUUCUAUAUGCAAAAAUGGACUCAAAAUGGAUCAAUCAUAGAUCUAGAUGUAAGGCCUAAAACAAUAAAACUUCUAGAACAGAGCAUUGGAGAAAAUCUUUGUGACCUUGUGAUAGGCAAAUAUUUCUUAGAUAUUACAUAAAAAGCAAAGUCCAUUAUUGAGCAAACAGAUAAAUUAGACCUUAUCAAAAUUAAAAAUUUCUGCUCUUGAAAAGAUACUAUUAAAAGAAUUUUUUUAAAAGCCACUUCUACAUGAUUGAACUAAUUUGCAUUUCCACCAACUGUAAAAGCAUUCCUCUUUCUCCACAACCUCAUCAACAUCUGUUGUUUCUUGACUUUUUAACGAUUGCCAUUCUGACUUGCAUGUGAUGGUAUCUCAUUGUGGUUUUGAUUUGCACAGUGAUGUUGAGCUUUUUGUUUAUUGGCUGCAUGAAUGUCUUCUUUGGAGAAGUGUCUGCUCAUGUCCUUUCCCCACUUUUUAAUGGGGCUGGGUUUUUUUCUUGUACAUUUCUUUGAGUUCCUUGUAGAUUCUGGAUAUUAGACUUUUGUCAGAUGAAUUGAUUGCAAAAAAUUUCUCCCACUUUGUAGGCUGCCUUGUUCACUCUGAUGAUAGUUUCCUCAAAGAUGUAGAACCAGAAAUA